rnacentral:rRNA from 1 species
UACGUAGGGUGCGAGCGUUAAUCGGAAUUACUGGGCGUAAAGCGUGCGCAGGCGGUUUGCUAAGACCGGUGUGAAAUCCCCGGGCUUAACCUGGGAACUGCAUUGGUGACUGCAUCGCUCGAGUAUGGCAGAGGGGGGUAGAAUUCCACGUGUAGCAGUGAAAUGCGUAGAGAUGUGGAGGAAUACCGAUGGCGAAGGCAGCCCCCUGGGUCAAUACUGACGCUCAUGCACGAAAGCGUGGGGAGCAAACAGG